rnacentral:rRNA from 1 species
GAGAAUAAAUUUAAGAUUAUUGAUUGUGUAAAGUAAAUUAAUUGAAAUAACUUUAAGUUUUAGGUUUUAGUAUAGUAAUAGAACAAAUUUGUUUAUUUAUAGUUAAUUAGUAUUGUAGAAGAAAAUUGAAAAAUUUUGAAAAAGGAUUCACUGAAAAGUAGAUGAAAUGUUGUACCUUGUGUAUCAGGGUUUAUUAAAUUGGAGUAUUGAAUGUGCUUCUCCCGAGUUUGAAGGAGUUAAUUUAUUAUAUUGGUUAAUGUGGUACCAUUAUCAAUAAUAGUAAGUUUGUAAUGAAAUGUUAGCCGUCUUCUAAGAUAUCUGGUUCUCUAAGAAAUGAAUUUAAUUCAGUAUUUAUUAGUAGUUUAUGAAUUUGUUCACAAAUUAUUGAUUGAAUAUAAUAUUUUAAGGGAUAAGCUUUAGAAUAAUUGUUAUACGUAGAAGAGUAUAUUAAAAAUUGUAGGCUUUAAAUUAGCCAGCGUUUAAAUAAUGUUAUAAAUUAUUUUGUUUUAAUAUAAUUUUAUAAAAGUGUUAGGUUGUAUAUUAGAGUAAAUUGAGUAAUGUUAAUUCAAUUGUAAUAAUGAUAAAAUUAGUAUAUCUAUAAAGUGUGAUUUGUUUUUUUUGAUGGUAAUUUAUAAAAAGGAACUAGGCAAGUAUAAUGUUCGCCUGUUUAUCAAAAACAUGUCUCUUUGAGUUGAAUUUAGGGUUGGGCCUGCCCACUGACAUUAGUUGAAGGGCCGCGGUAUUUUGACCGUGCAAAGGUAGCAUAAUCACUAGUCUUUUAAUUGAGGGCUGGAAUGAAUGGUUUGACGAAAUAUUGACUGUCUCUUUAUAAUAAAUAUAAUUUAACUUUUAAGUCAAAAGGCUUAAAUGAAUAUAAAAGACGAGAAGACCCUAUAGAUCUUUAUACAAUUAGGUAUAAUUAUUAAUGUGGUUGUAUUGAUUAUGGUUAUAAUAUUGUAUUUUGUUGGGGUGACAUGAAGAUAUAAGUAACUCUUUAUAAUGGGAACAUUGGUUUAUGAUUAAUUGAUCCGUUAUUAGCGAUUAUAAGAUAAAGUUACCUUAGGGAUAACAGCGUAAUUUUUUUUGAGAGUUCUUAUCGACAAAAAAGAUUGCGACCUCGAUGUUGGAUUAAGGAAUAUGAUUAGGUGUAGCAGUUUGAUUAAUAAGUCUGUUCGACUUUUAAAUCCUUACAUGAUCUGAGUUCAGACCGGCGUGAGCCAGGUCGGUUUCUAUCUUUAUAGGGUUAAGAUAUUUUAGUACGAAAGGACCAAAUAUCUAAAAUAUUUUUUUUUUAAGUGACGAAUAGUAAU